rnacentral:rRNA from 1 species
CGGCGGACGGGUGAGUAACGCGUGGAUAACCUGCCUCACACAGGGGGAUAACAGUUAGAAAUGACUGCUAAUACCGCAUAAGACCACAGCACCGCAUGGUGCAGGGGCAAAAACUCCGGUGGUAUGAGAUGGACCCGCGUCUGAUUAGGUAGUUGGUGGGGUAACGGCCUACCAAGCCGACGAUCAGUAGCCGACCUGAGAGGGUGACCGGCCACAUUGGGACUGAGACACGGCCCAA